rnacentral:tmRNA from 1 species
GGGGGUGUCACGGAUUCGACCUUGUGUCGUAGUACGAGGCUGCAUGCCGGAGAUAAUGGAGGCUCCGUAUCAAUCCAUUACAAAAAUUAAUUGGCGAAGAACAAUUCGCACUUGCUGCUUAAAGCGGCAACGUUUCUACCCUGACACCUGCUAAGGAAUAGAAGCGUCGACUAGCAGGCAUAGCUCGAUAAGUUGGCUUCCGCUUAUCAGCUGUAUUCAGGAAGCCUGGAAACUGAAGAGUCCGCUUUGAGACGCUUCAGCGACGACAACAAAUUCUAAGCUAAGCAUGUAGAUGCCACGUGUGAAAGCACGAGGGACGCGGGUUCGACUCCCGCCACCUCCACCA